rnacentral:rRNA from 2 species
ACGCCAUUAAUUUGGUGUUGUGGGGAAUCAGGACUGUUACUGUGAAAAAAUUAGAGUGUUCAAAGCAGGCCUAUGCUCGAAUACAUUAGCAUGGAAUAAUAGAAUAGGACAGAGGUUCUAUUUUGUUGGUUUCUAGGACCGCUGUAAUGAUUAAUAGGGAUAGUCGGGGGCGUCCGUAUUCAAUUGUCAGAGGUGAAAUUCUUGGAUUUAUUGAAGACGAACUACUGCGAAAGCAUUUGCCAAGGAUGUUUUCAUUAAUCAGGAACGAAAGCUAGGGGAUCGAAGACGAUCAGAUACCGUCGUAGUCCUAACCAUAAACUAUGCCGACUAGGGAUCGGAUGAUGUUAAUUUUUAAUGACUCAUUCGGCGCCUUACGGGAAAC